rnacentral:rRNA from 1 species
GACGAACGCUGGCGGCGUGCUUAACACAUGCAAGUCGAACGGUGAAGCGCCUUCCUUUUUGGUGGGUGUGGAUGAGUGGCGAACGGGUGAGUAACACGUGAGUAACCUGCCCCCUUCUUCUGGAUAACCGCAUGAAAGUGUGGCUAAUACGGGAUAUUCCGGGUCUCUCGCACGCUGGCUCUCGGACACCUCCUGUUUCGGUGGGGGCUGGGCUCGCGGCCUAUCAGCCUGUUGGUGGGGUGAUGGCCUACCAAGGCCGUGACGGGUAGCCGGCCUGAGAGGGUGGACGGUCACACUGGGACUGAGACACGGCCCAGACGCCUACGGGAGGCAGCAGUGGGGAAUAUUGCACAAUGGGCGCAAGCCUGAUGCAGCGACGCCGCGUGAGGGAUGGAGGCCUUCGGGUUGUGAACCGCUUUCGCCAGUGAAGCAGGCCUGCCUCGUUUGUGGGUGGGUUGACGGUAGCUGGAGAAGAAGCGCCGGCUAACUACGUG